AACGAACGCUGGCGGCAUGCCUAACACAUGCAAGUCGAACGAGACCUUCGGGUCUAGUGGCGCACGGGUGCGUAACGCGUGGGAACCUGCCCUUAGGUUCGGAAUAACUCCCCGAAAGGGGUGCUAAUACCGGAUAAUGUCUUCGGACCAAAGAUUUAUCGCCUUGGGAUGGGCCCGCGUUGGAUUAGCUAGUUGGUAGGGUAAAAGCCUACCAAGGCGACGAUCCAUAGCUGGUCUGAGAGGAUGAUCAGCCACACUGGGACUGAGACACGGCCCAGACUCCUACGGGAGGCAGCAGUGGGGAAUAUUGGACAAUGGGCGAAAGCCUGAUCCAGCAAUGCCGCGUGAGUGAUGAAGGCCUUAGGGUUGUAAAGCUCUUUUACCCGGGAUGAUAAUGACAGUACCGGGAGAAUAAGCUCCGGCUAACUCCGUG
rnacentral:rRNA from 1 species